AGAGUUUGAUCCUGGCUCAGAACGAACGCUGGCGGCGUGGAUAAGACAUGCAAGUCGAGCGCUGAUUCCGGGGUAGCAAUAUUCCGGAGUUGGAGCGGCGCAAGGGUGCGUAACACGUGGGUAAUCUGCCAGGAAGUUGGGGAUAACUUGCUGAAAGGCGAGCUAAUACCGAAUGUGACCAUCGGGAGGCCUCUCCUGAUGGUUAAAGUUGGGGACCGCAAGGCCUGACGCUUCCUGAUGAACCCGCGGCCUAUCAGCUAGUUGGUGAGGUAACGGCCCACCAAGGCUAAGACGGGUAGCUGGUCUGAGAGGACGACCAGCCACACUGGAACUGAGACACGGUCCAGACACCUACGGGUGGCAGCAGUCGAGAAUUUUUCACAAUGGGCGCAAGCCUGAUGGAGCGACGCCGCGUGGGGGAUGAACGGCUUCGGCCCGUAAACCCCUGUCAUUUGCGAUCAAACCUCGUUAUUUAAAAGAUGACGAGCUGAUAGUAGCGAAAGAGGAAGGGACGGCUAACUCUGUGCCAGCAGCCGCGGUAAUACAGAGGUCCCGAGCGUUGUUCGGAUUCACUGGGCGUAAAGGGUGCGUAGGUGGUGAGGUAAGUCGGAUGUGAAAGCUCGGAGCUCAACUCCGAAAUGGCAUUGGAAACUACCUUGCUCGAGGGUUGGAGGGGGGACUGGAAUGCUUGGUGUAGCAGUGAAAUGCGUAGAUAUCAAGUGGAACACCAGUGGCGAAGGCGAGUCCCUGGACAACUCCUGACACUGAGGCACGAAAGCUAGGGGAGCAAACAGGAUUAGAUACCCCCGUAGUCC
rnacentral:rRNA from 1 species